AGGCAAUUGUUCCAAACCGGAGGUGGUCUAGGUGGUGGUAAUGGAGGUGGCAUUGCUACCAAGGUCGUAUGCCUGACAGAGGUGGUUACUGCAGAUGAGCUUAAAGAUGAUGAAGAGUAUGAAGAUAUUUUGGAAGAUAUGAGGGUAGAAGGUGGAAAAUUUGGUACAUUGAUGAAUAUUGUCAUCCCCCGUCCACAACCUAACGGUGAACCCUCUCUAGGACUUGGAAAGGUUAGUUUCAGUGUAAGGCUUUCGUUGAGAACUACGACACUUCAUGUAUAAGCCAGUGCCUCUACGGUAUCAUCUACCACUAUGUUUCUCAUAAUCGGUGUUAGGUUUACCAAGAAGAGAGUGUGCAGCAAAAAUGGAUCAUUUCCAUUUAGCAAUGUAACCCAGACUACCAUACUGGAACGUGUAUGCUACUGUCAUAUUUGUAGGGAAGGCCAAUAUCUGUGUUUUACGAUUUAUAUGAUAUUUUUAGUCAUGUUCAAAGAAUCUAUCAUUUUAUUUUCUUUCGUUGCGCAACACACUUUCAUACAAGGUGAUUUGAAGUUAGCUAGGUAAUGCAAUUGGAGUGGUAGGUUAACUUGAAUGAAUGUAAAUGUGCUACACUGGCAUGUUAAUGUGAAUGUGAAAUACUUUCGGCAAUUCAUGCAAUUCGGUUUCAGCUAUAA